rnacentral:rRNA from 1 species
GGCUCAGGACGAACGCUGGCGGCGUGCCUAAUACAUGCAAGUCGAACGAACUCUGGUAUUGAUUGGUGCUUGCAUCAUGAUUUACAUUUGAGUGAGUGGCGAACUGGUGAGUAACACGUGGGAAACCUGCCCAGAAGCGGGGGAUAACACCUGGAAACAGAUGCUAAUACCGCAUAACAACUUGGACCGCAUGGUCCGAGUUUGAAAGAUGGCUUCGGCUAUCACUUUUGGAUGGUCCCGCGGCGUAUUAGCUAGAUGGUGGGGUAACGGCUCACCAUGGCAAUGAUACGUAGCCGACCUGAGAGGGUAAUCGGCCACAUUGGGACUGAGACACGGCCCAAACUCCUACGGGAGGCAGCAGUAGGGAAUCUUCCACAAUGGACGAAAGUCUGAUGGAGCAACGCCGCGUGAGUGAAGAAGGGUUUCGGCUCGUAAAACUCUGUUGUUAAAGAAGAACAUAUCUGAGAGUAACUGUUCAGGUAUUGACGGUAUUUAACCAGAAAGCCACGGCUAACUACGUGCCAGCAGCCGCGGUAAUACGUAGGUGGCAAGCGUUGUCCGGAUUUAUUGGGCGUAAAGCGAGCGCAGGCGGUUUUUUAAGUCUGAUGUGAAAGCCUUCGGCUCAACCGAAGAAGUGCAUCGGAAACUGGGAAACUUGAGUGCAGAAGAGGACAGUGGAACUCCAUGUGUAGCGGUGAAAUGCGUAGAUAUAUGGAAGAACACCAGUGGCGAAGGCGGCUGUCUGGUCUGUAACUGACGCUGAGGCUCGAAAGUAUGGGUAGCAAACAGGAUUAGAUACCCUGGUAGUCCAUACCGUAAACGAUGAAUGCUAAGUGUUGGAGGGUUUCCGCCCUUCAGUGCUGCAGCUAACGCAUUAAGCAUUCCGCCUGGGGAGUACGGCCGCAAGGCUGAAACUCAAAGGAAUUGACGGGGGCCCGCACAAGCGGUGGAGCAUGUGGUUUAAUUCGAAGCUACGCGAAGAACCUUACCAGGUCUUGACAUACUAUGCAAAUCUAAGAGAUUAGACGUUCCCUUCGGGGACAUGGAUACAGGUGGUGCAUGGUUGUCGUCAGCUCGUGUCGUGAGAUGUUGGGUUAAGUCCCGCAACGAGCGCAACCCUUAUUAUCAGUUGCCAGCAUUAAGUUGGGCACUCUGGUGAGACUGCCGGUGACAAACCGGAGGAAGGUGGGGAUGACGUCAAAUCAUCAUGCCCCUUAUGACCUGGGCUACACACGUGCUACAAUGGAUGGUACAACGAGUUGCGAACUCGCGAGAGUAAGCUAAUCUCUUAAAGCCAUUCUCAGUUCGGAUUGUAGGCUGCAACUCGCCUACAUGAAGUCGGAAUCGCUAGUAAUCGCGGAUCAGCAUGCCGCGGUGAAUACGUUCCCGGGCCUUGUACACACCGCCCGUCACACCAUGAGAGUUUGUAACACCCAAAGUCGGUGGGGUAACCUUUUAGGAACCAGCCGCCUAAGGUGGGACAGAUGAU